UACCAGCACCCCGAGUGGUCGGGACGACUAUUGGGCCUAAAGCAUCCGUAGCCGGUUCUGCAAGUCCCCCGUUAAAUCCAGCUGCUCAACAGAUGGGCCGCGGAGGAUACUACAGAGCUAGGAGGCAGGAGAGGCAAGCGGUACUCAGUGGGUAGGGGUAAAAUCCGUUGAUCCAUUGAAGACCACCAGUGGCGAAGGCGGCUUGCCAGAAUGCGCUCGACGGUGAGGGAUGAAAGCUGGGGGAGCAAACCGG
rnacentral:rRNA from 1 species